GCAGCCGCGGUAAUUCCAGCUCCAAUAGCGUAUAUUAAAGUUGCUGCAGUUAAAAAGCUCGUAGUUGAAUUUCGGGAUCAAUUUACUGGUCGUGCCUACGGUACGUACUGGUUUAUUGGUUCCUCCUUUCUGAGAAGCUGUGAUGUCAUUAACUUGAUGUUGCGGGGAAUCAGGACUGUUACUUUGAAAAAAUUAGAGUGUUUAAAGCAGGCUAAAGCUUGAAUACAUUAGCAUGGAAUAAUGAAAUAGGACGGUCGAUCCUAUUUUUGUUGGUUUCUAGGAUUGACGUAAUGAUUAAUAGGGAUAGUUGGGGGCAUUAGUAUUCAAUUGUCAGAGGUGAAAUUCUUGGAUUUAUUGAAGACUAACUACUGCGAAAGCAUUUGCCAAGGAUGUUUUCAUUAAUCAAGAACGAAAGUUAGGGGAUCGAAGACGAUUAGAUACCGUCGUAGUCUUAACCAUAAACUAUGCCGACUAGGGAUCGGAUGAGAAAUUUUUAAUAAACUCAUUCGGCGCCUUACGGG
rnacentral:rRNA from 1 species